rnacentral:tRNA from 1 species
UGGCUCAGUUGGAUGAGCAUGGUGUUUGCAACGCCAGGGUUGUGGGUUCGAUUCCCAC